rnacentral:lncRNA from 1 species
CCCUCCGUCCCUUCGGGCUUCCGUCCCUCCUUUGGGCCCUUCAGUCCCGGACUCAGAGCGGAGUUGUCCGCGGGUUGCCCCCGCCCGACCUCCCGGAGGUGAAAAUGGAGCGCGGCGGCCUCCCGGGGCCGUUUUACACCUUCAUGGGGGCGGCUGCCUGCUCUGAGGGCUCUGAGGAUCUCUCCGGGCUGUAAACCCCUCCGGAGGAUGUGAACCUCUGUCCUCUCCUGCCCCCAGCCCUAAGCUUCUCUAAGGGGAUCUGCGCGGCUGAACAAAGAACGUUGUGUGAGGCGAGGGCUGUAAGCGCUGUUAAUUUGCAUCGGGGAGGGGGGGAAAAAAAACCCCACCAACCCACCUAAAAAAUGUUUCCCUGUGUUGCAUGGAUCACGGAGGAAAACAGCCGUGCACGGCAGCCCAGCGGCGAACAAUGCCUUUUUAUGUAAGAGAAAAUGAUGUAAAACGUGCCCGGCUCAGAUGGCUGCAGGUAGGAGCCGUAGGCGUGUGCUGCGCUGCUGUGCUGCCGUGGUGCUGCACCGAGGCACCGAAUAAACCCUGCUCGCCUUCAUCUGCCCUGUACUCCUUGGACACACUCCGAUCUGCCCUUUGGAUAACAAGUGCUUCAUGGAACACCUUCGGGAAAGAAGGGGGUGUGGCGCAUGCCGGGAGAAUUGCUCUCGGUAUGAAAGCCUUGAAGCAAUGCAAUGCAAGUUUUUCGAAGCUGACAUAAGAAAAUAUUGGAUAUGCUGCCAAGUCCAUGUGGGUGGAGAAAAAAAGGAGGUGUUACUGAUUUUUAUAAACACUUGUGUUCUGAAGAAAGAAAGGAAAAAAGGAACAAGACUUUCCCAGUGGUUCUCUGAGAAUGUAAAUGCCAUGAGUAUUUUGAUUAAUGGCAGAAAUGGCAUUUCCUGUGUUGUCUUUAUUGCUCAAUUGCCUUGUCCUAGUUACAUAAGUUGUAUUUUAUCAACUGGAGCAGAUGAAUAAAAAACCAGUUGGAGAACUCUACGAGUCUUCCUCAUAAUUUCCAGCUGAAUUACUCAUACUCACAGCUGUGUGAAAAGAGAGAUCAGGUAUUCUGCAUCAAAGCAUUGAAGUUGCAUCCUUUCACCUGUAAACUGAAUAUUUUGCCUUAUAUUUGAUGAUAUAUAGGUGGAAAACUUGAAAAUUAGCACAAACAUCCAUCAUUUUCCACAGAAACAAAUCUCAAAAGUUUUUAUCAAUUAUGUGACUUUUUUUUAUCUUUGAUAAAACCUUAUUUCUUGCACUGGUUGGAGACAAAUUAAUUGUCACACUUAUAUUUACACUUCAUGUGGUGAGGGAUGCUUGUCACCAGCCUAUAUAAACCAUUUGCUUUACAACAAUAUAUUGAUCAGCCCAAUAUAAUGUUUUAUUUAUGCAGCCAAAUCUAAAAAAGAUACUUUUUAUCUGUGUAGAUGAUUAAUUACGACAGACGUUUAGACAGUAUUCAGGUAAUUUUGAGUUCUUUAAAAGAUGACAGUAACUUUUAAAAUAUUUGGCAGUGCACAGUGUGACCUGGAAGUGGAGACUCUAGUGGCUGUUCACUUUGAGUCACAGGAGGAGAGGCUUGGAACUGCCUGGACUCACAGCCCUGUUUGCUCUCCAUUCUGGUCCUCUUGCUAGGCUCAUACAAGAUGGCCCUCUAAAGAUGCUGUGUAGUUUUUAUUAAUCUUUUUAACCUGGCAGCAAGAAAUUAAAUGACAUAUCCAGUUAUGAAUUACCACUGGUCUGUGACAGCAGAGAAUGCCCUUGAUUGUCACAUGGUCCAUGUAAUCUUAGCCAGCAAGGGCAAAGCCCUGAAAGUACUCUGUCUACAAAACAGAGAACACAUCUUCCUCCAGUCACAGGUUGGACCAAACCAUUUUGUUUUCAAUUCACCCACUCAUCCCCACCAGUUUUCCCAGGUCUUUUGAUCUCCCUUUCUAAGAUGUCACAAAACUGAAAAGGGACCAAGCAUUAGCUAAGGUGCCCACUUGCAGGUGCUGCGAGUGCCUCUGACCACAACCACUUCCAAAGGCUCAAAUGCAAAACAUGAACAAUGCUUGUUCAAAACAGCUGGUUUUAAACUGCAAAAAAGAUUAAAAAAAAAAUAAAUCUGGUGUUCCCAUACUGCCUACA